rnacentral:rRNA from 1 species
UACGUAGGGACCAAGCGUUGUUCGGAUUUACUGGGCGUAAAGGGCGCGUAGGCGGCCAUUUAAGUCCGCUGUGAAAGUCAGAGGCUCAACCUUUGAAAGCCGGUGGAUACUGGAUGGCUAGAGUACGGAAGAGGCGAGUGGAAUUCCUGGUGCAGCGGUGGAAUGCGCAGAUAUCAGGAGGAACACCAAUAGCGAAGGCAGCUCGCUGGGACGUUACUGACACUAAGGCGCGAAAGCGUGGGGAGCGAACAGG